GGAAUAUUGCACAAUGGGCGAAAGCCUGAUGCAGCGACGCCGCGUGAGUGAUGAAGUAUUUCGGUAUGUAAAGCUCUAUCAGCAGGGAAGAUAAUGACGGUACCUGACUAAGAAGCACCGGCUAAAUACGUGCCAGCAGCCGCGGUAAUACGUAUGGUGCAAGCGUUAUCCGGAUUUACUGGGUGUAAAGGGAGCGUAGGCGGUCUUGCAAGUCUGAUGUGAAAGCCCGGGGCUCAACCGCGGGAUUGCAUUGGAAACUGUAGGACUUGAGUAUCGGAGAGGUAAGUGGAAUUCCUAGUGUAGCGGUGAAAUGCGUAGAUAUUAGGAGGAACACCAGUGGCGAAGGCGGCUUACUGGACUAUAACUGACGCUGAGGCUCGAAAGCGUGGGGAGCAAACA
rnacentral:rRNA from 1 species